rnacentral:lncRNA from 1 species
UAAUAAUAAUAAUAAUAAUAAUAAUAAUAAUAAUAAUAAUAAUAAUAAUAAUAAUAAUAAUAAUAAUAAUAAUAAUAAUAAUAAUAAUAAUAAUAAUAAUAAUAAAAUAGUGUAAAAUUUCAUGAUAUUGUUCCCAAACCCCAAUGAGCAUUGACUAGAUCAGGAAAUUGUCCAGGGUCCUUCAUGGCAUUCCCUAGCUAUUGUUCACCAAAUAUAAGGAUUUCUUUGCCAAAAUGUAAGAGCUUUCUGUGAAUACAGCCACUACUGAAAACUAUACUGUUGCUUGACUUUUUGCAUCUGAGUGAGAAAUUUUGCUGCCGUUUCCCUGAUGUGUUUGAGACACCCCUUUUCACUGCAUAGGAAUAUAAAUCUAAGAAUGGGAAAAUUUAAGUGAUUCACCAUAUCUGUAUCUUUGCAGAGUUUGUAUUUCUGAGAUGUUUUUCUUAUCACAAAACUUAGCUGUUGAAAAGCAAUAGUCCAGUAUAGAGGUGGGAGGUACAAUUCCCUGAAUCACCCUAGACACCAUAGUGAAAGGCUAGACUAUUCAGGAAAUUAGAGACUUCAAAAAAAUCUCUUUCCUCGGCUCUCAUCCAACAUCUUUAAAAGCAGCCGAGGAGUUUAAUAGCAAACGUUCAGCUGUUCUGCCAGGCUAUUCCAGCUGCAGAAUGAAAAUUCCGUGACAGUUGGAGUCUCAGACGCUUGAGCAUUGACUAGAGAGGGGAAUUAUCCAGAGUCCUUCUUGGCUUUUCCUGGCUGUCUUUCAAAGCGGCUGCUGUUUUCUUUUUUUAAAGAACGUGUUGGAUGAAACAGAAAUCCAAGGAAAGCCAAUUACAGGAUUGGGAUCAAUGAUUCACUAUAGACUCAUAAGUGUUUCUAUUUCCCUUGUUAAUGUUCUCCUCUUAAUGGUAAGCCAUGCCUCCCACGGCUGGACCAUAUUCACCCGUAAUGCUGAUAUUUAUAAUUCUGGACUCUGGAUCGUGUGCACUCUGAAAUUUGGAUGCCACUCCAUGCCGUCUACCGAUGUGUACCUGGAUAUUACUCGAAGCUUCAUGGUGUUAGGUCUUCUUGCAUCUAUUAUAGCUAUGGUAUGGGCCAUAGACUGGGACCAUGUCAUCCACUGCAACUUCACCUUCGUGCCCAAAUCUCUGAUGACUUCCAUCUUCAGCUUCCUUUCAGGAAUCUGUGUGCUACUUGCUCUGUUGGUGUUUGAAUUUAAGCUGAACCAGAAAUCUAAAUCUGUGCCCAAUUCUAAAAAAUGGGCUUUUUACUUAACCUUUCCUGUCUGUGGCUUAUGCUUCUUGUCAGGCAUUUUCAACUUAGUCACCUACAAGAUGCAUCUCUGGGGAACAGGAAAAUCAUGCACCCACAUGGGUCCAGAUGGCAUCAGCGCUGCUGACGAAGAUGAUCCACACAUUGUUAAAAUGACCCCUUCUCUGCUCUGAACCGAGUCAGCUCCAAUUGCAUGGACAUCUUAGGUCAAGAUGUCAGCUACACAUGAGGCAGUUUACAACGGGUACGAACCUCCUUGGGAGAUACUUGGCCAAGGAACAGAUUCUGGCACAUUUUUUUUUUUUUUUGGAGGGGAUUGAAAAGUUGGUUUCCUCAGCACCUCCUCUGUUUCAUGCUGGUUAGCAUUGCCAGAGAUUUCUUCAUUUAAAAGAAUCCUUCCCCUCUUCAUUAAACAUCUGUUUAUUCAAUAUGAUUCUCCAGAGAUAGCAAUUUGAUGGCUCAACAGAUGAUUAGAUGUUCUUCCUCACCCCUAUCCUUGGUCAGAACUAUUUACUGCUAUUAAAUACCACAUUGAUGAAAAAACAAAUACUGUGGGCUCCUGUCUUUUAAGCUACUAUGGUCUCUUCUGUUGUGUGUGCAUACUACACUAGAUAGCCCAACGUUUGGGUCAAAAUAAGAUAGAUGCCCCCGUCUUCAAGUGCUCUAGCAUGUUUACUCAAUAUUUUAUCCUAGUCCUUUCUAUUUGUUUACAUGAAAAACAAACCUUGAGAAGAUGGAGAUCCUGUUCUUGGGAGGGCAUCCUGAUCAGUUAAGGGGGCCUGUUACACGAUCUUGAUGAGGUCACUCUCCCCUUGAAGGAUCAGGUGUGAAAUCUGGGUGUGCUUCUGGAUCUGGCCCUCUUGAUGGAGAAACAGAUCCUGGCUGUGGCCAAAUCUGAGGCAGAGUGCACAACUC